rnacentral:tRNA from 1 species
AGUUAAUGAGCUUGAACAAGCAUAUAUUUUGAAAAUAUAAGAUAAAAUUAUUAUUUUAUUAACUU